UUUUUCAGUUUUACUUUGCUCCAUGUUUUAUUUUCUUGGUGAUCUAAUUCUUAUUUAUUUAUUUUUUUCUGUUUUCAGCUUUCUAGAUUUUUUAUUUAUUCCCCUCUUGUGUUCUCCUUUUUCCUAUGCUCUUUUCCUCUCCUGCCCUGUGCUCACCUGUUCCCAAUCUGCUCAUUAGUCUUCUUUGUCUCAGUCUCCUUUAAAUGCUUUCCCUCUUCAGUUCUUAUUUGCUGGGUCCUUGUCCGUCUCUCUGAGCCUUCCUCUUCUAGAUUGAAUCCCCCCUAAUGUCUCCAUGGAUUCUGGUUUGUUUUUAACUUUGUUUUCAUGUUUUGACUUUGGAUUUUUGGACUCCCGCUUUUCAGGUUGUUUGGACUUAGUUUUUCAUGUUUGGAUUUCUUGCCUCUGUUUCCUGUUAACCUUUAUUAAACCCAUAAGAAAUUCACCUCUGCCUCUGCAUUUUGGGUCAUCUAUCCACUACCAAAUCAUGACAGCAUCACAGUCCGGAAACAGGAAGGUUGAUGCUGAAAGGGAGAUUAAAGGCCUGAAAAACCCCAAAGACAACAUCAGCAGCUCCAAAAAUGAUGUUGUUUAUAAGCAUUCUCUGGAACGGCAAAACUCAGCUUUAGCCCCAGAGAGACAAAAGUUCCUUAAUGACGACAAUCCAAGGAAGAGAAAAUACAAAACAGAACCUCAAACGUGCCAUUUCUCAUUCGGCAUGUCAGCUUUCAACCUGGCCAACGCCAUCAUGGGCACCGGCAUGCUGGGUUUGUCAUUUGCCAUGGCAAACACCGGUAUCAUUCUGUUUACGUGAGCAUACACACACCUGUCACUUGA